rnacentral:lncRNA from 1 species
UGGGCAGAUAUGCCUGGAAGGUUUUGGAGCGCGUCAUGGUGACCAUGGGCCGGGUCGGCGGGCGGUGCAAGAACGGGCUGCCGGCCCAGGUCGGCUCACAAGGGAAGCACCGCAACACACAGAGGGGCCGUAACUUUCAUCUCUUCAAGGCCUGUGCAAGGCAAGGACCUUCCUUAUGUAACCACAGCUGAUGAGGAUAACAGAAGCAGCAGAAAAGAGGGGGAAAUGUGUGUCCUUGUGUUGCAUCCCAUCCUUCACUAGCUGUCCAGCCUCUAGCGUCUUAUUCAACAGUCUUUCUGGUGAUGCAUUUAGUGUAAUUACUAUGAGACUGGAUUCAUAAUCUGCAUUUCUGACGUGAUUUUUGCAGCCGUUCCCCCCUCCACAAGCCUGCAGAUGAUAAUUUUUAAGGAUGAAAUUUUGUCAAAUGGUGUAAUACUGGGUUACGUCAUAGCCAAUGAUUAAACAGCCCCCUGUAAUAUCCUGAGUGGGUCAUGAAAAUUAAAAUAUUCUGCUUCACAUGAUUAUUCAUUACUGAUGGCUUGUAUUUGCAUUCAUAAAUGCAGUUGAUCAUGCACCGAGUGUCACAGUGUAUAAUACCAUAGCUUAAGACCUGCAGGAAACACUAUUGAAAAAAUGUAAUCUCUGAAGACCGGAUUGGAUUUGACAGCGUUUCAGAAAUUACUUGUCAGCAUUCAAGCUGCCCAAAUU